CCCUUAGAUGUUCUGGGCCGCACGCGCGCUACACUGAUGCAUUCAACGAGUCUAAAACCUGCUCUGAUAGGGGUGGGUAAUCUUUUGAAUGUGCAUCGUGAUUGGGAUAGAUGAUUGCAAUUUUUCAUCUUCAACGAGGAAUGCCUAGUAAACGCAAGUCAUCAGCUCGCAUUGAUUACGUCCCUGCCCUUUGUACACACCGCCCGUCGCUCCUACCGAUUGAAUGAUCCGAUGAAUAUCAUGGAUUGAGGAUGUAAGCAGGUUCGCCUGUCUUCAUCUUCGAGAAGUGAAGUAAAUCUUAUCAUUUAGAGGAAGGAGAAGUCGUAACA
rnacentral:rRNA from 1 species